rnacentral:lncRNA from 10 species
GGAGUUCUGUGUGGAUGCUCCUUUGAACCAAAUCAGUUCCACAACUGACCCUGUCAGGGACAUAUAAAUUUAGCAUUUUGGUGUGGAUACAGAAGACGAGAUUAACACAGAUCAAGUAACAUGGAAAUAAAAAAGGAGACAAUGCUGGAUGAUACAGGGGCAGCCAACAAGAGGAGAAAACCCAAGCAUUGGCAAAUGCCUCAUUAUCCAAAGAACACUCCUUAUACUCCUGAGAAUUUGUGGCAGUCCUGGGUUAAACGAUGAAGGCUUCUUAUUCUCAUGUAGGUCUCACAGCCUCUUGUCUCCCUGAGUUUUAAACACAUUGCAUUACCUUUCCAGAGGAGGUGUGGAGCAAAACUGUGUUGAAUGAACUGUAGAUGGAAAUUCUCUCCUUCCCACCGAGGAGCCGCUGCAGGUUGCAGACUCCCAGAAUGCCACACUGAGAAGAGGAGGGCUAAAAUUCUAGAGCAGAAUCCCUGGGGCAGCCCCUGCUGAAGAAGGGUGCAUCUGUUGAGAAUCUCAUCACCGCCCCCACCCCGCCCAGCCUUCAAUUUAGAGGAAUUUCUAGUUCACGCAGAAUGAAGACAAGAUCACAUAAGUGAGGACGACGCCCCAUUUACAAGUGUGAUUUGGAAGACUGAAGUGGAAACCUUGGGAAGGGGCCUCAGAGUAUGUCAGCUGGGGUCAGACGGGAACAGGAGUCUGGCUCAACACACAUUUAUUGCACUCCUGUUUCAUGCCAAGAAAUGUACCAAAAUCUGGGACUGUGUAACACAGCAAAGGAAAAGACUCAUCUCCAGGAAGCCCCCUUGUCUAGGAAGAGAAAUUGAAUAUCAGCAUAAGGUGGUGAAAAGCUGU